ACGCACGCUGGCGGCGUGCUUAACCCAUGCACGUCGAACGGAAAGGCCCUGCUUGCAGGGUACUCGAGUGGCGAACGGGUGAGUAACACGUGGGUGAUCUGCCCUGCACUUCGGGAUAAGCCUGGGAAACUGGGUCUAAUACCGGAUAGGAGCCAUUUUUAGUGUGAUGGUUGGAAGGUUUUUUCGGUGUAGGAUGAGCUCGCGGCCUAUCAGCUUGUUGGUGGGGUAAUGGCCUACCAAGGCGGCGACGGGUAGCCGGCCUGAGAGGGUGGACGGCCACAUUGGGACUGAGAUACGGCCCAGACUCCUACGGGAGGCAGCAGUGGGGAAUAUUGCACAAUGGGCGCAAGCCUGAUGCAGCGACGCCGCGUGGGGGAUGACGGCCUUCGGGUUGUAAACUCCUUUCGCUAGGGACGAAGCUUUUUGUGACGGUACCUAGAUAAGAAGCACCGGCUAACUACGUG
rnacentral:rRNA from 1 species